GCAUAUCAAUAAGCGGAGGAAAAGAAACUAACUAGGAUUCCCUUAGUAACGGCGAGUGAACCGGGAUGAGCUCAAAUUUGAAAUCUGGCGUCUUUCAGGCGUCCGAGUUGUAAUCUAUAGAGGCGUUUUCCGCGCCGGACCGCGUCCAAGUCUCUUGGAAUAGAGUAUCAAAGAGGGUGACAAUCCCGUACUUGACGCGACAACCGGUGCUCUGUGAUACGUUCUCAACGAGUCGAGUUGUUUGGGAAUGCAGCUCUAAAUGGGUGGUAAAUUCCAUCUAAGGCUAAAUAUUGGCGAGAGACCGAUAGCGAACAAGUACCGUGAGGGAAAGAUGAAAAGCACUUUGGAAAGAGAGUUAAACAGCACGUGAAAUUGUUAAAAGGGAAACGAUUGAAGUCAGUCGUGUGAAAGGUAUUCAGCCGUCUCUGGCGGUGUAUUUGCCUUUCACGGGUCAACAUCAGUUUAGUCCGGUAGAAAAAGGCUGGAGGAAGGUGGCACCCUCGGGUGUGUUAUAGCCUCCUGUCACAUGUGCCGGAUUAGACUGAGGAACGCAGCUUGCAGCAAUGCCGGGGUUCGCCCACGUACAAGCUUAGGAUGUUAC
rnacentral:rRNA from 1 species